UACGGGGGGGGGCAAGCGUUGUUCGGAAUUACUGGGCGUAAAGGGCUCGUAGGCGGCCAACUAAGUCGGAUGUGAAAUCCCCAAGCUUAACUUGGGACUGCAUCCGAUACUGGAUGGCUUGAAUCCGGGAGAGGGAUGCAGAAUUCCAGGUGUAGCGGUGAAAUGCAUAGAUAUCUGGAGGAAUACCGGUGGCGAAGGCGGCAUCCUGGACCGGCAUUGACGCUGAGGAGCGAAAGCUAGGGGAGCAAACGGG
rnacentral:rRNA from 1 species